GGGGGGUGGGGGCGUGCUAUACAUGCAAGUCGAGCGGACAGAUGGGAGCUUGCUCCCUGAUGUUAGCGGCGGACGGGUGAGUAACACGUGGGUAACCUGCCUGUAAGACUGGGAUAACUCCGGGAAACCGGGGCUAAUACCGGAUGGUUGUUUGAACCGCAUGGUUCAAACAUAAAAGGUGGCUUCGGCUACCACUUACAGAUGGACCCGCGGCGCAUUAGCUAGUUGGUGAGGUAACGGCUCACCAAGGCAACGAUGCGUAGCCGACCUGAGAGGGUGAUCGGCCACACUGGGACUGAGACACGGCCCAGACUCCUACGGGAGGCAGCAGUAGGGAAUCUUCCGCAAUGGACGAAAGUCUGACGGAGCAACGCCGCGUGAGUGAUGAAGGUUUUCGGAUCGUAAAGCUCUGUUGUUAGGGAAGAACAAGUACCGUUCGAAUAGGGCGGUACCUUGACGGUACCUAACCAGAAAGCCACGGCUAACUACGUGCCAGCAGCCGCGGUAAUACGUAGGUGGCAAGCGUUGUCCGGAAUUAUUGGGCGUAAAGGGCUCGCAGGCGGUUUCUUAAGUCUGAUGUGAAAGCCCCCGGCUCAACCGGGGAGGGUCAUUGGAAACUGGGGAACUUGAGUGCAGAAGAGGAGAGUGGAAUUCCACGUGUAGCGGUGAAAUGCGUAGAGAUGUGGAGGAACACCAGUGGCGAAGGCGACUCUCUGGUCUGUAACUGACGCUGAGGAGCGAAAGCGUGGGGGAGCGAACAGGAUUAGAUACCGGGGUUAAGAUCAUCUUC
rnacentral:rRNA from 1 species